rnacentral:rRNA from 1 species
UGGGGAAUAUUGCACAAUGGGCGCAAGCCUGAUGCAGCCAUGCCGCGUGUAUGAAGAAGGCCUUCGGGUUGUAAAGUACUUUCAGCGGGGAGGAAGGGAGUAAAGUUAAUACCUUUACUCAUUGACGUUACCCGCAGAAGAAGCACCGUCUAACUCCGUGCCAGCAGCCGCGGUAAUACGGAGGGUGCAAGCGUUAAUCGGAAUUACUGGGCGUAAAGCGCACGCAGGCGGUUUGUUAAGUCAGAUGUGAAAUCCCCGGGCUCAACCUGGGAACUGCAUCUGAUACUGGCAAGCUUGAGUCUCGUAGAGGGGGGUAGAAUUCCAGGUGUAGCGGUGAAAUGCGUAGAGAUCUGGAGGAAUACCGGUGGCGAAGGCGGCCCCCUGGACGAAGACUGACGCUCAGGUGCGAAAGCGUGGGGAGCAAACAGG